AUACUGUGAAACUGCGAAUGGCUCAUUAAAUCAGUUAUCGUUUAUUUGAUAGUACCUUACUACAUGGAUACCUGUGGUAAUUCUAGAGCUAAUACAUGCUAAAAACCUCGACUUCGGAAGGGGUGUAUUUAUUAGAUAAAAAACCAAUGCCCUUCGGGGCUCCUUGGUGAUUCAUAAUAACUUAACGAAUCGCAUGGCCUUGCGCCGGCGAUGGUUCAUUCAAAUUUCUGCCCUAUCAACUUUCGAUGGUAGGAUAGUGGCCUACCAUGGUGGCAACGGGUAACGGGGAAUUAGGGUUCGAUUCCGGAGAGGGAGCCUGAGAAACGGCUACCACAUCCAAGGAAGGCAGCAGGCGCGCAAAUUACCCAAUCCCGACACGGGGAGGUAGUGACAAUAAAUACUGAUACGGGGCUCUUUUGGGUCUCGUAAUUGGAAUGAGUACAAUCUAAAUCCCUUAACGAGGAACAAUUGGAGGGCAAGUCUGGUGCCAGCAGCCGCGGUAAUUCCAGCUCCAAUAGCGUAUAUUAAAGUUGUUGCAGUUAAAAAGCUCGUAGUUGAACCUUGGGUCUGGCUGGCCGGUCCGCCUCACCGCGAGUACUGGUCCGGCUGGACCUUUCCUUCUGGGGAACCUCAUGGCCUUCACUGGCUGUGGGGGGAACCAGGACUUUUACUGUGAAAAAAUUAGAGUGUUCAAAGCAGGCCUUUGCUCGAAUACAUUAGCAUGGAAUAAUAGAAUAGGACGUGCGGUUCUAUUUUGUUGGUUUCUAGGACCGCCGUAAUGAUUAAUAGGGAUAGUCGGGGGCGUCAGUAUUCAGCUGUCAGAGGUGAAAUUCUUGGAUUUGCUGAAGACUAACUACUGCGAAAGCAUUCGCCAAGGAUGUUUUCAUUAAUCAGGGAACGAAAGUUAGGGGAUCGAAGACGAUCAGAUACCGUCGUAGUCUUAACCAUAAACUAUGCCGACUAGGGAUCGGGCGGUGUUUCUAUGAUGACCCGCUCGGCACCUUACGAGAAAUCAAA
rnacentral:rRNA from 1 species